GAUGAACGCUGGCGACGUGCCUAACACAUGCAAGUCGAGCGAGAAAUAUAUAAUGGAGGCUUCGGCCGAAGUUAUAUAUUGAAAGCGGCGGACGGGUGAGUAACGCGUGGGUAACCUGCCCUAUACAGGGAGAUAACAACGAGAAAUUGUUGCUAAUACCGCAUAAGCGCACAGUAUUGCAUAAUACAGUGUGAACAACUCCGGUGGUAUAGGAUGGACCCGCGUCUGAUUAGUUAGUUGGUAAGGUAAAGGCUUACCAAGGCGACGAUCAGUAGCCGACCUGAGAGGGUGAUCGGCCACAUUGGGACUGAGACACGGCCCAAACUCCUACGGGAGGCAGCAGUGGGGAAUAUUGCACAAUGGGGGAAACCCUGAUGCAGCAACGCCGCGUGAAGGAAGAAAGUCUUCGGAUUGUAAACUUCUAUCAGCAGGGAAGAAAAUGACGGUACCUGACUAGGAAGCCCCGGCUAACUACGUGCCAGCCGCCGCGGUAACAC
rnacentral:rRNA from 1 species